rnacentral:rRNA from 1 species
AUUGAACGCUGGCGGCAUGCCUUACACAUGCAAGUCGAACGGCAGCACGGGAGCAAUCCUGGUGGCGAGUGGCGAACGGGUGAGUAAAGUAUCGGAACGUGCCCAGUCGUGGGGGAUAACGUAGCGAAAGUUACGCUAAUACCGCAUACGAUCUAUGGAUGAAAGCGGGGGAUCGCAAGACCUCGCGCGAUUGGAGCGGCCGAUAUCAGACUAGGUAGUCGGUGGGGUAAAGGCUCACCAAGCCGACGAUCUGUAGCUGGUCUGAGAGGACGACCAGCCACACUGAGACUGAGACACGGCCCAGACUCCUACGGGAGGCAGCAGUGGGGAAUUUUGGACAAUGGGCGAAAGCCUGAUCCAGCCAUGCCGCGUGCAGGAUGAAGGCCUUCGGGUUGUAAACUGCUUUUGUACGGAACGAAAAGGUUUGGCCUAAUAAGCUGAGCUCAUGACGGUACCGUAAGAAUAAGCACCGGCUAACUACGUGCCAGCCGCCGCCGUAA